CUUUGGUGAGAAGAACGGAUGUAAUUUUGUUCAGGGCCAGAUGUUCGUUUGAUUUGGACGAAGAACAACGACAUGCAACUUGUCUUCAAAUGCAUGCCUUGUGAACAGACCUAUGACUUCUGACUCUGAUUCAUUAGAGUGCUUGAAGAACUGCAUAAACGUUUCGGGUUUACGUUUAUUUUGUGAUUUUCGAACCGUGAAAACUGAAGAACCUCAGGUAAUCCACGAUCAUGUGGGUGAUAGAGUGAGUUUAGUUUUACGCCGCUUUUAGCAAUAUUCCAGCACUAUCACGGCGGUGGACACCAGAAAUGAGCUUCACACAUUGUACCCAUGAGUAAAAUCGAACAAGGGUCUUCGGCGUGACGGGCGAACGCUUUAACCACUGGGCUACCCUCCGCCCACUCCAUGAUCAUGUAACAAAAUCUAUUUUAACUUCGGUACAUUAGAAUAACACGAUUACAUCUUUGAGCAUAGUUUUCAUCUGGCCUUCACAAUGUAAAACUACAGGAACACCGUACAUAUGCUUGGCAAACUUGCCUCGUCAUGUUACAAGAUUCUGAAU